rnacentral:rRNA from 1 species
GGCAAGUGGAAUGGUCAGUUGGCAGCAUGCAAUGCUCUAGAUGGACACAACUGGAUGUUUCCUAUUGCUGUUGGCUUGUUUCAGUCAGAAACAGAGGCUUCAUGGACAUGGUUCAUGAUCCAGUUGAAAAGAUGCCUAGGGCCAAUGUCACCUUUGGCUAUACACACAGAUGCAUGUAAGGGGCUGGAAAAUUCAGUGAAAAAUGUUUCCCCACAUGCUGAGCAGAGGGAGUGCUUCGGUCAUUUGUGGAUGAAUUUGAUCAAAAAAUUUAGAGGAGAAGAAUUUGGGCGCAUGUGGCCAGCAGCAAGAUCUUAUACUAGACAAACACACAAA